rnacentral:misc_RNA from 1 species
CUCGCGCGACACGGUGUCCUCCAUCCUAGUCCGAUGAGGCCCG